GCCUGGCUGGCUCAUUUGGUGGAGCAUAAGACUCUUGAUCUCAGCGUUGUGAGUUCAAGCCCCACAUUGGGUA
rnacentral:tRNA from 1 species